CAAAUGACUCUCGGCAACGGAUAUCUCGGCUCUCGCAUCGAUGAAGAACGUAGCGAAAUGCGAUACUUGGUGUGAAUUGCAGAAUCCCGUGAACCAUCGAGUCUUUGAACGCAAGUUGCGCCCGAAGCCACUAGGCCCGAGGGCACGUCUGCCUGGGCGUCACGC
rnacentral:rRNA from 1 species